rnacentral:rRNA from 1 species
AGCUUCAGUAGCGUAUAUUAAAGUUGUUGCAGUUAAAAAGCUCGUAGUCGCAUUUCUGGCGAGAGGAUCCGGUCCGACCUUUUGGUGGGUUCUUGGGUCUCUUUCGCCAUCCUUGAGUGGUCCGUUCUGGCAUUAGGUUGUCGGAGCGUCAGCCGCUCAUCGUUUACUGUGAGAAAAUUAGAGUGUUCAAAGCAGGCUUAUGCCGUUGAAUAUAUUAGCAUGGAAUAAUAAGAUAGGACCUAGGUACUAUUUUGUUGGUUUGAGCACCAAGGUAAUGAUGAACAGGGACAGUUGGGGGUAUUUGUAUUUCGUUGUCAGAGGUGAAAUUCUUAGAUUUACGAAAGACAAACUACUGCGAAAGCAUUUACCAAGGAUGUUUUCA